UCUGUUCCCAUGGCUUCUUCUUCAUGUCUAUAGGCACAACCAGUCUCGGUCCAUAAAAUGCCAUUACUCGGCGAGUCUUUGAGUUUCGAUGUUUUGAUCUCUACUGAAUGCAAUUGGGAAAGUCAAGAUGUUGGUGCGCUCUUGAAUUUUCGGGUUUGGACGGGAAUUGGCUAACUCAAGUUGCCUUCUCCUUCUUAGAGGACCCUACAAAUUGGAAUCUUAAGGAUAUUGCUGCUAUUUUGUGUAUGAUGAAUUGAACUUUGGGUUGUUCGUAUAGAGAAAUUGUUGCUCUCUUUGAUUUUUCUGGCUGGUCCCAACAGCUGUUUUGUAGGGUUUUUUUAAUAAUUUGAUUGGGAAUUUGGAUUAUGAUGUGUAGACUACUGAGAAUUGGGAUUACUGACAUGAUUAAUUAGACUAAGAAUCUUAUCUUA